CAAAGGCUACGUUGCGCAAAGUUCGUUCAAUUUUUGGGUCAGAGCAUUCAACGCAUGGGAAACUGAGGAACACUUGCAUGACAAGGGCUUUGUAGCGCAAGUUACAGUUAGUUUUGGGUCUGAGCAUUUAGUGCAUGUGAAUUAGAUGAAUCAAUACUGUAUUUAGUGCAGAUGUUUGCGCGACAAAGCUUUCGUCACGCAAAGGCCCUAACCUUCCUAUAAAUAUGCGCUUCUGCUCUCCUUAUUUUUCACAAUUCUGUUCGUGUUGGGAUGGAGGAUAAAAAUCGGGAUGAGAGCGUGCCCGCCAACCCGUAUGAUUUGAGGCAACAUGUGGAGUUCACACAUGCUAUUGGUGUAGCCAUGCGAAAUAAUUGUCCUACUGCUGAGUGGCAUUCUUGGAAAUAUGUGUCCGAGAAUGUGAAGAAGGUGGUGUGAAGGAUUUAUUUUGAAAAACAUGUUCAUUUGAAUAACAUCUAU
rnacentral:lncRNA from 1 species